AAUUCAGCGGAAACAAGGUUGUAGCUAGCUAUCUGCAAUUAAUGGAACUAAGCGUUCUACAUAUGUGUAUGUAAUCAGUAAAGAGGACGCCUGAUGGCAAGGGUGUAGCUAGCUAUUUUACUAGUCAGAGGCAGACUAAUUCACGUGCACGUACAGUAGUUAGUGUCGACAUUAGCAGGGUACUCUCUAUCUCAAUAUACGGAAUGCAAGCUAGGUAGCUAACGUUAGUUAAUCAGCAUCAAUCUAAAACAAUAAUGUUUGAAAUCCUGUCUGGUGAAAGAUCCAUUAGCUAGAGACUGUUGUCUUGGAGACCUCAGAGCCCAAAUGUCCCCCAGGGCCUGGCUCAAUGAGAGGCAUGGACAGUUUGGUACUAGACUCUGAAUCAGAUGAGGAGAUAUCUGGGUCAUCCAUGAUGUUGUUGGGAGACCCAGCCCGUAAGAGGAGACUAGAGGUGUGUAACAGCUCCCAGGAGAGUGGGGCAUCCAACUCCAGCAAGAAACCAGCCCUCCAGGAAGAUUUAGGGGUGAGUCCACUAGGGCCAGGACAAUACCAGUAUCGCAAUACUCGUUGGUAUCGAGGUAAGGAAACAAAACACAAAGCGGAUUUAACUUCUUUAGGAAAACAGCCCUAAUGCUGGAAACACACAUCAUGUUGUAAUCCAGUGGCACAUUUGUGCGUUGGAAAAAAUAUUACAAUACUGGUCUCGUCCCGGUCCUAGAGUCCACCUGACUGCAGUCCAAUACCUCCUUCAGCCUCCAUGCCACCCCCAAACCAGGGUGGGGGUGCAUACUCAGUUUACACCUGAUGUGUGAGUCAUCUGUGUUGAGCUAGAGAUUUACUGAAGUAAUUUGGCUAAAGUGCCGCGCUCAAGUGCACAAGAGCCCUGUGCCCCACCUGGAGUUUUGACCUUGAGGUUAGUGGUUUAUUUCCCUGACCAAGAUGAUAUACUGCCAUCUUGCUUGUUCAUUUGUUAUUUGUCAUCUCCAGUACAGAGGGGUAGGCUUGCGUGGGGAGGAGCUCACACUCUAAUUGGCCUGUCUGCCUUCGGAAUUCACGCGCCAGUGUGUUUUUGUCCAACCAAACAGAUGUUUCUGAGGACGAGGGUCCAGAGCCCAGCUGGAAGAGCUGCAGACUAAGUUCCCCAUUCUACAGACUAAGGCUGUAGAAUCCCUCUCUACAGUGCCUGUGUUCUCUGUCACUGCAGUUCCACAACACAUUCAUGAAUAUCCUAAAUGUUGGCAAAUGUGAACCAAAAUUGUUUGAAAUGUGGGAGCUGCAUAUGAAUAAUUAUUUUGACAAAAAAUGUGUGCUUUUGGUUUACAACGGUGUCUAUUUGUCUUAUCUUGCAUGCACACAAGAGCUUAGAGAACCACUUCUGGAGCAUGGUAGACAUUUUGAGGAAAUCCUAUAAGCACUGUGCAAGUUUUCAGAGGAGGAGAGGUCCAGUCAAGAGGACACCCAGGCAUCAUCAUCAGCUAGUUUUCCCCCCUAAACCUCAGCAUGCCAGGCAGCCCAAGCAGCCAAACUCCCUGGUCAUCCCCAAUCACUACCUCACAAGCCUACCAAUGGGAGCAUAAUUAAGACCUUCAAUAGGCUGCCCGAAGGAGCAGACAAAAGGAGGAAGGUGAUUCCAGAUCCAGGCACCAGCUCUGAGGACGAGGCCAGUGAUGACUUUGAUGUGUCUGCUGAGGGCAUGGAGAUGGAACUUGGAUGCCUCAGGCUCAGAUCAGGAGGUUGGAACAGGGUCUAAUGUGAAGGGCCAGAUCCUCUGGUUUUUCCAGGAGGCAUCGCCGGUUGAGCUGUCUCAUCUCUGGCUGCUCUGUGAAGAAGGCCCAGAAGAUUGUCGAGCUUCGCCUAUUUAACGAGUGGGAGAAUCUGGUGGCUGUUCUCGACGGAGGGAACGGCCUCUCCACUGACCUGGUGCAGGGCUGUUGUGUGGUCCUGAGGGAACAGGACUUGGCGCGCAGCCUCUUGACCAAGUGUGAGAACAUCACCAACAAGAUGAUGCAAGACGUGACUCAAGCGGUGGAGAGGAACAAGGGCUUUCAGAAACAGCCUGAGAUCCUCAACAGCAAGGUUUGGGGGAAGACCAUUCAGGCCAUCUCGUUCCUGUUUCCUUUUAAAGCAAGGAACAACCAUUGUAAAGAAUCCAAGUUACCAUGGAAACAGAGUCAACUGCACAAAUGCCCGGCUGUCCCGUCUUCAAUCAGCUGUUAGUUUGGUCUUGCUUCUCUGGUGUACUAUGGUGAGUGACUCAUCUGUUCAUUCUGAGUGGUGGGACACAUCAUACUGUCGCCAUCAUGGUUAAGGCUUAACAUUGAUUUGAUUAUACAGAUUUCAACCUGUUGGUUUAAGUCACCAGAAGCGAAAGGAUUCCCAAAUAUAGAUUCAGUUUAGAUUGUCCUAUUUAUAUUGUGUGUGUGUAUAUGGUCUGUGGAGGAUGGCAGGUUCUUUCGAUAUGAUAUUCUCAACAAAUGGGUCGACUACAACAUAAUAAUUUCCCGUAAGUCCAAAAUCGAAGAAUGACGGUUAUGUAAGAAUGACUAUACACAGAAGUACACUCGAGUCUAUUAAACUACAGGUUCACAUCCUACUGUGUUAGCUAACUGCUGGGUGUCUUCUGAGCGAGACACUUAGCCUAAGUGCCUCUGGAAAUAUCCAGGGGAAUUAGUGGAGAUCUUGUAAAACCAUCAGCCGUGUAAGUCACCCCAGCCAGGUUUCUGCUAACACUCCAAUAAUGAUAAUAUAUUCAGUGUUUGACUGAACCUGAAAAGGUCUUUGUAAGCUGAACCUGUGACUCAUUCAUUAUUCAUGGUAGUCAAGUGGUUGCCAUGCCUCACAGACUACUUGUGGGAACCUUGUGUGGCUCCUUGAGCUGCCGUGUGUCUGCUGCCAGCUACGCUCGGACUAUCGCCAAAUGACCGCAGCCUGUCCCGAAAGCUCAGAACGCCGAGCAUGAGCUGAAGAACAUGAGCUUCGCUGCUCUAGUGCCACCUCUUGGCCAUCAACAUCAGUACAUUGCUAGAGGCACCGGGAGAGGGAGGGCUUUCAUUGGUCAUCUUGGUUGAAACAGCAGAGAGGAAGAGGUGAAGUGAUAGGUUUUACUCUGCCCAAAAUCUGUCCACGAAAAUAAACCCACAAAGUGAGGAAUUUUUGUAUGGGGGUCAAUGAGAGAGUGUCGAAAUUGGUCAACAAAACAUUGAAUUGCUCAUUUGCUCCAUGAGGCUUAUUUGAUUGAAUAGAAGUUUCAUAAUGGUUAGGUUGUUACGAAUGCACUGAUGAGAGAGAGAUAUAAUAUGUUUUGGCAUUGAGGGCUUCCACUAUCUUAAAAUAGUCAACUGGGUGGGGAUUCCUAUGAGUUGGGAGCAAUCAGCCAAUGAAGAAGAAGGAAAUGUACUAUUUUAAAAUGGAGAUAGCCUCAACUUCUAAAAUCUUAACAACUUGGACGUGCUCACAUUUCCUGAUUUCCUUGUCCCAAAUGUUUCAUUCCGUCCAUCCUCAACCCCAGGACGUGGGUGCUCACAAUACACAAUGAUUCCCCAGUUGAUCCUGCCAUGCUUUUCUCGGUUGUCAUAGGGGGGGAAAUGCUGACGUAAGUUAAGAUUUUAGAAGUUGUCUAGUGUAUGACCAACAUUCUGGGCCAUGAGUGACAAGAAGCAGCAGCUCUACAACACCUUGAUGCAGAAGCUGUAGGGAUCCACCAAUGGAGAGAGUAUGUUAGGGAGAGGAAUAAAGAGAGAAAGGUAUCUUGGUCAUUUGAAAAGCGAUAAUAUACUUAAGGGAAUCCUAAAAAGCCAAACAAGUUUAAUUUUAAGAUGCACAGGUUAACUGAUUUAAGACCAUGGCAUGUGUCCAUGUGUCUUCAGAGAGAGAACUGACCAAUGGGAUGAUACUCAUCUUCUGCACAUUUAUCACUCCAGUGUUUAAUUGCUAUAUUGUAAUUAUUUUGCCACUAUGGCCUAUUCAUUGCCUUACCUCCCUUAUCCUACCUCAU